rnacentral:rRNA from 1 species
UUGAAAGGGAAACGAUUGAAGUCAGUCAUGCUAGCGAGGAAUCAACUUGGUGGUGUGAGUCUCUCAUCUCCUCCGUGUGCACUUCCUCGUCUGGCAGGUUAGCAUCAAUUUUGAUUGUCAUCAAAUAAUUGGGGUAAUGUGGCUUCUCUUCGGUGGAGUGUUAUAGACCCCGGUGGAUGUGGCGAUUGGGAUUGAGGAUUGCAGCGGAUGCCUCUUGGCUAGUCACCUGAUUCCUGGCUGUCAUCUCGCUUUCGACAGCUUGCUGACGAUCGUGGGACUCGGCGGUCUAGGUGUCGGUCUGAUCAUAAAUUCGUUAAGGAUGUUGACGUA